rnacentral:rRNA from 1 species
UACGUAGGGGGCGAGCGUUGUCCGGAAUCACUGGGCGUAAAGCGCGCGUAGGCGGCCUCGUGCAUCCGGUGUGAAAGCCCCUGGCUCAACUAGGGGAGGACACUGGAGAUGGCGGGGCUAGAGGACCGUAGAGGCAAGGGGAAGUCCCGCAGUAGUGGUGAAAUGCGUAGAGAGCGGGAGGAACACCAGUGGCGAAGGCGCCUUGCUGGGCGGGCCCUGACGCUGAGGCGCGAAAGCUAGGGGAGCGAACGGA